UCAAAUCCACGAACGGAAAAGUUCAUGGCGCACCCAUUUUUUGAGAUAAAAUUUGCCCAUUUUUUGAGAUAAAAUUUGUCGGAAACCUAUAUUUUCUAAAAUUAUGUAUUUCGUUUUUUUUCUUCUUCAUAUCCGGAAGCUUAUCAGGUUUCUCUAUUGUACUUGCAUCUCAUAAGGUUUGAACCAGGUAUAGAUAUGAUGCCUAUUCAAUCAAUGGAUUCCGGUGGUUGAGAAUUGUUGUGUUACUUUGCAGAGAAAAUCAUGGUAGAAGAAACAACAACAUCACUGAGAUCUGGUAGUAAUAGCGGUGGUGGUGAUUCAUACAUCAGCAGUUUGUUUGACAUCUAAGUUUGAAAUCCGGCACGAAGGUGUUCUUUAUAACAUCAAUGCUAAAGAAUCUAGCAUAGGAUUAAGAAAUGCAGGAAUGCAGGGCCAAGGAAUAGACGUCGGGGAUGGAUUACGCAUCGAAUAGGUCUUACGUGAAGUAUAAAGUUAUGUUGCAGCUGUAGAGAGUGGGUGCGCGGUGUUGCUGAGUUGCUGUGUGACGCAGCUGUGGAUUUGGUGGUUUGCAAUGAAAUUGGUUGUAGUGCUACAGGUGACUGAAAUGAGUUUGGAUGCUAGAUGUAUGAUUAGGUUGUUACGGGAAAAGUCGGCCUGAAUUUGUCGGAGAAACAUAGGAGACUCUGUCGGAUUUUUUUGAGGGGGAGAAUGAGUUUGAAUGCUUGAUGUAUUUUGUCAUAUUGGUGUUGGUGUUUGGUGAUAAUGGUUGAAUAAUAUUUUUAUACAUCUAUAAAAAUGGUUGCAUAAGCUGUUAUGUA